UACGAAGGGGGCUAGCGUUGUUCGGAAUCACUGGGCGUAAAGCGCACGUAGGCGGAUCUUUAAGUCAGGGGUGAAAUCCCGAGGCUCAACCUCGGAACUGCCUUUGAUACUGGGGAUCUCGAGUCCGGGAGAGGUGAGUGGAACUGCGAGUGUAGAGGUGAAAUUCGUAGAUAUUCGCAAGAACACCAGUGGCGAAGGCGGCUCUCUGGACCGUAACUGACGCUGAGGCGCGAAAGCGUGGGGAGCAAACAGG
rnacentral:rRNA from 1 species